rnacentral:rRNA from 1 species
CCUACGGGAGGCAGCAGUGGGGAAUAUUGGACAAUGGGCGCAAGCCUGACUCCAGCCAUGCCGCGUGAGUGAUGAAGGCCCUAGGGUUGUAAAGCUCUUUUGUGCGGAAGAUAAUGACGGUACCGCAAGAAUAAGCCCCGGCUAACUUCGUGCCAGCAGCCGCGGUAAU